GGCGAUAGCUCAGUGGGUAAGAGCAUGGUGCUGAUGACACCAAGGUUGUAGGUUCAAUCCCCGUAUGCGACA